AGAGUUUGAUUAUGGCUCAGAUUGAACGCUGGCGGCAGGCUUAACACAUGCAAGUCGAGCGGAGAUAAGGUGCUUGCACCUUAUCUUAGCGGCGGACGGGUGAGUAAUGCUUAGGAAUCUGCCUAUUAGUGGGGGACAACAUUUCGAAAGGAAUGCUAAUACCGCAUACGCCCUACGGGGGAAAGCAGGGGAUCUUCGGACCUUGCGCUAAUAGAUGAGCCUAAGUCGGAUUAGCUAGUUGGUGGGGUAAAGGCCUACCAAGGCGACGAUCUGUAGCGGGUCUGAGAGGAUGAUCCGCCACACUGGGACUGAGACACGGCCCAGACUCCUACGGGAGGCAGCAGUGGGGAAUAUUGGACAAUGGGGGGAACCCUGAUCCAGCCAUGCCGCGUGUGUGAAGAAGGCCUUUUGGUUGUAAAGCACUUUAAGCGAGGAGGAGGAGCUCUAGACUAAUACUCUAGAUGCUUGGACGUUACUCGCAGAAUAAGCACCGGCUAACUCUGUGCCAGCAGCCGCGGUAA
rnacentral:rRNA from 1 species